AGAGUUUGAUCCUGGCUCAGGAUGAACGCUGACAGAAUGCUUAACACAUGCAAGUCUACUUGAUCCUUCGGGUGAAGGUGGCGGACGGGUGAGUAACGCGUAAAGAACUUGCCUUACAGACUGGGACAACAUUUGGAAACGAAUGCUAAUACCGGAUAUUAUGAUUGGGUCGCAUGAUCUGGUUAUGAAAGCUAUAUGCGCUGUGAGAGAGCUUUGCGUCCCAUUAGUUAGUUGGUGAGGUAACGGCUCACCAAGACGAUGAUGGGUAGCCGGCCUGAGAGGGUGAACGGCCACAAGGGGACUGAGACACGGCCCUUACUCCUACGGGAGGCAGCAGUGGGGAAUAUUGGACAAUGGACCAAAAGUCUGAUCCAGCAAUUCUGUGUGCACGAUGAAGUUUUUCGGAAUGUAAAGUGCUUUCAGUUGGGAAGAAGUCAGUGACGGUACCAACAGAAGAAGCGACGGCUAAAUACGUGCCAGCAGCCGCGGUAAUACGUAUGUCGCAAGCGUUAUCCGGAUUUAUUGGGCGUAAAGCGCGUCUAGGCGGCUUAGUAAGUCUGAUGUGAAAAUGCGGGGCUCAACCCCGUAUUGCGUUGGAAACUGCUAAACUAGAGUACUGGAGAGGUAGGCGGAACUACAAGUGUAGAGGUGAAAUUCGUAGAUAUUUGUAGGAAUGCCGAUGGGGAAGCCAGCCUACUGGACAGAUACUGACGCUAAAGCGCGAAAGCGUGGGUAGCAAACAGGAUUAGAUACCCUGGUAGUCCACGCCGUAAACGAUGAUUACUAGGUGUUGGGGGUCGAACCUCAGCGCCCAAGCUAACGCGAUAAGUAAUCCGCCUGGGGAGUACGUACGCAAGUAUGAAACUCAAAGGAAUUGACGGGGACCCGCACAAGCGGUGGAGCAUGU
rnacentral:rRNA from 1 species